rnacentral:rRNA from 1 species
AGUUAAUAUGCUUUGUAAUUGGAAUGAUAGAAAUUUAAACCCUUUUUAAAGUAUCAAUUGGAGGGCAAGUCUGGUGCCAGCAGCCGCGGUAAUUCCAGCUCCAAUAGCGUAUAUUAAAAUUGUUGCAGUUAAAAAGCUCGUAGUUGAAGUUCUGCUGAAAGUAACCGGUCUGCUUUUAAUAAAAGUGGUAUCUUGGUAUGUAUUUAGCAAUGAUGUCCUUUGAAGUGUUUUUUACUUUAUUGUAAUAAAGCAUAUUCAGGACUUUUACUUUGAGAAAAUUAGAGUGUUUCUAGCAGGCUGACGCCUUGAAUACUGCAGCAUGGAAUAAUAAGAUAGGAUUUUAGUUCUACAUUAUUGGUUUUAAGAGCUAAAUUAAUGAUUGAUAGGGACAGUUGGGGGCAUUUGUAUUUA